UUCAUGGGAGUUAACGCCAUUUUGAUGG
rnacentral:piRNA from 1 species